CUUUGAAUCUAGUAUUCUCCUUGGAUCAAUGGUUUCCAUUCAAUAGCAGUAGUAACCAUGAAACAACAGAGUAUUAUGCAUUGCCAUAACCUUUUAUUGCAGGUUUUAUGGUGACGUCCGUCCAUAUCUUCUGGUCCAAACUGUAUCAUCCAUUGCCUCCAAUGUACACAAAUUCAAUAUAAUGGCUAUGGGCUGCAGGAUUUUAUCCUCUAGCUAUGCUGCAAGAGACUGCUGCUGAUAGAUUGAUUUAUGCAGCAACUUAUCAUAUUGUCAGUGGUCACACACUUAAGCAUUUGUGUGCUCUGCAAUGGUUUCUCUCAUCUUAACAGUAAUGCUUGCAAAGAGUGAGGAUAUGUCCAAUGCAUAGUUGGCAUUAGCUUUUUGGCUAUGGAUAUGUAAUGAAUGGUUACCCUCUCUCAUAAAAUCUUUUCAUAUCUAUAGGAUUGUAUAGAAAUGGAGGAUUUUAGAACAUUAGUAAACAAAUUUGAGACUAGGAAUUCGGGAUCAUUUUUUUGAAUGGAUUUAAUAUGGUUUUUUCUCGUAAAAGAUGUAAUCAUGAAUAUGAUUAGCUGGUGCAAGUCUUGGAGUGUACUGAACUACUGAUACAAUCUUUCUGAACCAUAUAGCACUGUUGUUUUGCUAUUUUUGAUCA